AUGCGCAAAGGCCUCACUCCCAUUGCCCUUCUCACCCCAUGGAUGAUUUGGAAACACCAUAAGGAAUGUGUCUUCGAGGGUGCCCAACCAUCUGUGAGCAGCCUGGUUGCGAAGAUAAGGGACGAGGCAAAGCUUUGGGCCAGAGCUGACGCUUCCGGACUCCAUGACACUAUGCCCCGGUCUUGGGAUGUACAUUAA
rnacentral:rRNA from 1 species